CUGGAAUUUAUGUCGGCGACGACGGAAUUACGAUAGGCAAAUCAGACAAUAUCAGGUUUCAUUCCUCCGCGAGUAGUCUUAUGACUUAAAUAUGCACUUUUCUUUUGCAGGAAACGACAUUUUUCUGCUUGAAGAGCCAGUCCGGCGUUUUGCUUCCUCGGAGGAAAAGAUAUCAAUGAUAGGGUUUUAGCACCUCGCCAAAGUGCCUCUCUCUUUUCAUUUGUUCGAUGCGAAACGCUCGCUAGGCGUAACCGGCUGAUAUCUUAACGUCCUACCGUCGCUUUUCAAAAUUGAAGAACUGCGUUUAUAAUAGAACUACCCGAUCCGAUUUUCGUUAAUUCUUGAUAGUCUACUAUUCUCGCAAAUUCUACAAAUAAAUUCGAAAGAAAGGCAUUCGUGGACCGGAUGAUCGGCUAAACGCGCGGUUUCGCAAUCAAUCUACACAUAUAACGGAGAGAGACAUGGGGCGACCAACUUUUCAGAGUAUAUCUCUUCUUUCGGGUUCCGUUCCUAUCGCGCCUCUCGUUCGUUUCGAGCCUCUUCAUAGAGGAUGAUCGUCCGAUUCUGUUGAUAAAUUAUCAUUUUUCCCUGGGGCCGUACGAACAGAGGAAGACGUCGAUCGACGGUUACCGCAAAUUUCACGUGGUUAAGUUGGGAGCCGGUGUCGACCAGAAAUUCAGCGGAGCCGCGGUGGAAGUGAUUGUGGGUCAAGGAGAUGGUUGGUAAUUGCGCGACACGAUUCAAACCUGUUUCGUAACAAAUGCAGUGGACUCGGCGCGAGGAAUCAGGGGUUCCCUCCAUAUCGCGCCCGUUGACGGGAUCCCCUUGGAGUUUAAAGGGGUUAGCGAGCACGGCCGCUGAAACCACCCGUCUCCGGCAUCCACCCUUGCCCUCAGGGAAACCGUGCAAAACCCAAGGGGGAGAGGUUGCACUUUCGCGUUGGUUACACUAUUAUAAACUGCUGUUUAUCAACGUCAGCUCACGAGUCUACGAAAAUCACAGUUCUACAAGUGCAGACUGUAUAUA